UACGUAGGGUGCGAGCGUUGUCCGGAAUUAUUGGGCGUAAAGGGCUCGUAGGCGGUUUGUCGCGUCGGGAGUGAAAACGCCGUGCUUAACACGGCGCUUGCUUUCGAUACGGGCAGACUGGAGGUAUGCAGGGGAGAACGGAAUUCCUGGUGUAGCGGUGAAAUGCGCAGAUAUCAGGAGGAACACCGGUGGCGAAGGCGGUUCUCUGGGCAUUACCUGACGCUGAGGAGCGAAAGUGUGGGGAGCGAACAGG
rnacentral:rRNA from 1 species